UAAAGCCGUGUGCAAUGAAAAAUGCAAGCACGGUUUGGGGAGGGAUUUUUUUUACUUAUUUUUUUAAG
rnacentral:ribozyme from 1 species